GCCGCUCGAAACUUUGCACACCUCUACGCGGUGGGUGGCAGGCAACACAUGAGAAUGUGGCUGAGAUGCAAUG
rnacentral:ribozyme from 20 species